UGGGGAAUUUUGGACAAUGGGCGCAAGCCUGAUCCAGCCAUGCCGCGUGAGUGAAGAAGGCCUUCGGGUUGUAAAGCUCUUUCGGACGGGAAGAAAUGGCGGACUCUAACAUAGCCUGUCGAUGACGGUACCGUAAGAAGAAGCACCGGCUAACUACGUGCCAGCAGCCGCGGUAAUACGUAGGGUGCGAGCGUUAAUCGGAAUUACUGGGCGUAAAGCGUGCGCAGGCGGUUUUGCAAGACAGAUGUGAAAUCCCCGGGCUUAACCUGGGAACUGCGUUUGUGACUGCAAGGCUGGAGUACGGCAGAGGGGGGUGGAAUUCCACGUGUAGCAGUGAAAUGCGUAGAGAUGUGGAGGAACACCGAUGGCGAAGGCAGCCCCCUGGGCCUGUACUGACGCUCAUGCACGAAAGCGUGGGGAGCAAACA
rnacentral:rRNA from 1 species